UACGUAGGGUGCGAGCGUUGUCCGGAAUUACUGGGCGUAAAGAGCUCGUAGGUGGUUUGUCGCGUUGUUCGUGAAAACUCACAGCUUAACUGUGGGCGUGCGGGCGAUACGGGCAGACUGGAGUACUGCAGGGGAGACUGGAAUUCCUGGUGUAGCGGUGGAAUGCGCAGAUAUCAGGAGGAACACCGGUGGCGAAGGCGGGUCGCUGGGCAGUAACUGACGCUGAGACGCGAAAGCGUGGGGAGCAAACAGG
rnacentral:rRNA from 1 species